ensembl:lncRNA
UCGGUCUCGAGUCUGCCUCCAAUCUUAGAAUCGAUGCGGGAGUUUAUUUGGGAUGAAGCGCUGCUAAAUCCAGCGCUACACAACGCGUCCGCGCUUCAAUGGGUUUUGUUGACUUUGUUUUCCUCUGUUGUCAUCCUCUAUCUCCCUGCUCAUUCUCUCAACCCCCCCUCCCUCCCUCCUUCUCCCUCCAUCUCUCUCGAGCCUCACUGUAUCUCUCUCUCUCUCUAGCAUCUCGCUCUAUUCCUCUUUCUGGCUCUCUAGCAUAAAGUCCCUGUUCAGUUCUUGGCGUUCCUUCCUCCUGCUUGCCGCAGUCUUUAUAUCGAGCCGUGUGUCCGCAUCGAGUCAGUGUUGCGGGCUCCUGGGUGGAUGUGACUGAGGCCGGUGGAGGAACAAACUGACCCGCCGAGAUGACCACCGUGGCCCAGACGCACCACGAGGGGACAGUGCUGACGCCUCCCCAAGUGCGCCACCUGACCAAUAGGAACCCGUCCCCGUCCCGAGCCUUGGCCAGUCCUGGCAGCACUCCGCCAGCAGAGCUGUCGGAGCUCCUGCGUGACAAGGAGCGCCGUGCCGAGCAGCAGCGGGGCCGCUGCGUGGAGGAGCGGGAGAGGAGGCUGGAGGAGCAGCGGAGGAAGGAGUCCAGGCGCCGCGCGGCCGCCGAGGGGAAGAGGAGGCUGCAGCAGGAGGAGGAGAAGGUCAGAGGGCAAAGCCUGGCAACGCCCGGGAGACGUCUCUGAUGUGGGGUUGUUGUACCAGAGGAAUCCGUGAUUCGAGGCCUUUGAUGAAGUGCAGCCGACACAAAAGCAGUCAGACCCCGACCCCACACGCCUGAGUCGGAGUCUGAGUUCCAGUUAGCUGACUUGGACCGGGGAGCGACGCUGAGCAGGACGGCGUUGCCUUAUGGCCGGCUCCACCCAACGUAGCGUCGUAGCGUGGCCUCCGGAGCGAGAGGAGCCUAUAUGCAUCCUGAUCCCUCUGCUGGGGUCUUGAUGCACCCCCGCCUACACCCUCAGCGGACUAAAAUGCUGUCGUAUGCAGGAAUGGGACAGCUAGAAAAUGUCUUUAUAAGCAAAUUUGACAAGAGGGCCUUUUUACUCCCUGCAAUAUGCGUCUUCCACUACUAAUCUAUGGAUUACUGAAUUAAUUGAUAUACAAACAUUCAUACUAUCUUGGACAACACGCAGUUUCUUCACAUUUACAGUUUAUCCCUCUUUAUUCAUAGAGGGACGCGUCAAAGCCCGUAAAAAUAGACUUCAUGUCUAUUUUAGCACUUUGUUGCGUGUUGGCUGCGCAACAGACUGGCUCAGUGUAGCAGCUCGUAUCGAUAAGAGGAGCUUUUCCUUAAGGCACGACGCAACGCUACAUGAUGUGACGCUGCCAUGCCCAGUGUAGCAGGGGGUCAGAUGUAUAUUAAUUUACUUUCAGAGUAAAUGAUUCGGACAAAACAUUAGGUAGUGUAAUACGGGGUGGAUACAUCCCUCUAUGGUACGUUGUUAUGGUUAUUGCACGUUUUUUUAUCCUGUUGUCCAUCACUCUAGGUAACGUUAAACCACUGCUGUACCGUACAGAUAGAGGUCAUGGCCUCUUUUCUUUUGGCUCUAUUUUGUUGAAAAUAUCCGCAACAACAACGUGGUCUUCUUGGAGGCCUCUUAUCAUCAGUUUUAGCAGGGUUGAUACUGAAGUAUAUCAAACCCGAUGGGAUCUGUUGCUAUGUGGGAACCAUUGCUAGCCCUCUCUCUUCAUCACAUGCUAACGUUGUGUUACCAGCCAACCAUGAGCUACUAUCUAACCCUUCACGUCUCUCCAGCUAACUCUCUUUGUAUGGAACUAACUCUCUCAAUGUUAAGCGCUUACUCUCCUCAUAUUACCAGCUGAAUCUAUAUGUGUAAUCUCAUUGUUAUAAUCUAACUUGGCUUCCUUGCUGUUUUUUAUAGUGUUGGGCUGCCUCGCUUUGGUUUAGGAGCUAAAUGUCAUGGUGUUGGGGGCUAAUGCCAACUCUUCUCUUAACAGCUAAAUCUUACUGGGUAACGGCCAACUCCUAAUGUUCCCAGCUAAAUCUCCUUGUGUUAUCAUCGACCUCUUCCUCCCCGCUAACUCUCACUAUGUUGGGCUAACUUGCUCUGGUCCACCAAUGAUAGCUUUCAUAAGCCAUUCGCACACCAGACGAGCCAUGGAGGAAGAUUUAAUUUUAGGUCUAGAUUUGAGGUCUGGUUCUGUGUUUAAUAUGAUGGGUGGCAAUUGAUUGAUUGAUGUGUUGUGUGGUGCAUCAGGGUUUUGAGCAGAGCUCAGUGUGCGACCAUCUAUAUGUCUGCAGGGCUGUAUGUGUGUUUUUCAUUGAUUGGGUGUGUGUAUUUACAUACAAAUACACAGCUCUCCUAAUUUCCAAACCCACUCAUUUGCAUUACUUAAUGACAUAAUGAUUGGCUGGUCUCUCCUGGGAGGCCACAGUGACAUCACUGUGAGGCUGUUAUUGGGACGCUUACUGGAAACCGUAACGUGCACAGUCAUAGAUGAGCACACAUUUAUUACCCGAUACACCUAAGGAUGAAUGUGAAAAUGAUCCAGAGAUGGCCAACAUGAGGGGAUCGUGUAAGGUUCCCAGAGGGACACCCUCAUUAGUAAAUCUCAGAGACAGACUCUUAAUAGUAAUUUAUGGUUAUUUCUUGUGACCCUGAGGUGCGUAUUGAUUGGUGUAUAGAGCGCUGUGUAGAACAGAGCUAACAUUUGAUGCGUUGCAGUAUUAGGCCUGCACCUUGGAUGUUUAUUUGUUCGUCCUAUGCACAUUCACAUUCGUGGAUCAAGCUCUCUUUAUCUAGGUCAAAUCCUUUUGUUUAACACUAUAUAGAUGGAUGCAUGGAAAAUGGAUGGAUGGCCAACCGGAUAACCCUCUCCUCCCAUUACAUGGCUGUUUUCUCUCUCCCUUGCUCUGCUUCUUCAUUAAUUCUGUUCCCCGCCUUAUCGAUUCCACGCCAACGCUCCAUCUCCCCCAGCCCCCUCCUACUUCCUUCCCUAUCCCCCUGUGACUCCAUACAUUGUCAUCCCUAGCUUUCCCAACACACACACACAAACACACACACAAAUAAACACACACACACACACACACACACACACACACACACACACACACACACACACACACACACACACACACACACACACACACACACACACACACACACACACACACAGAUGCACCCUAGGCGUGUCUGCUGUAGAGGAGAAGGGAGAGAGGAGGGAGGAGGGAGGGUGCUUCUGUUACGGACCAUGACACUGAAAAUAUGAGUUGAUGUAGAAUAGGUGAUGCAGAGAGAAAAGGCAGAGAGAGAGAGAGGGGGGGAGAGAGCGAUGAAGAGGAAAUGGGAGAGUGGGAGACAAAGAGUUCAGCUUGCUAAGCCCCACCAUCACAGCCCAGCUGACUUCUCCUCUCAGUCUUUUGAAAGGCACUAGAUCACAUAGAAUGUGCCUUUAAUCCCCAGCCUGACUCACAGGAGUUCAGAAAUGGAUUUAGAUGUCUUCGAGGGCUGCACCAUUAUGACAAAAAUAAUAAUUAUUAUUUUGCCAGAUAUUUGUGAUUUUGGUUCAUUGUGAAGAGCAGAUUUUCAAUUAAAUAAAUAAUCAGUUGCUAUUGUAUGCAAAUAUUAUAAUAAUGAAGCAAUUGCUUAAUUGUAACAGUUUACAAAGUCAUUUACGGCCAUACAAAAACAAAUUUCUAAUUAUUAUUUUAUCCAAAUUGCGACCUUUCACAAUUUCUUAAUUGCAGAGCCCAAAUAUGCAUUUAUUAUUAAACCCAACUGCCAUUCACAUCAGAUGAAUCACCAAUACAUUCUUGAACUAAUCACUGUGUUAUGUAUUUCCUUUGAGAUGUAGAUCUGUGUUUUAAUGUAGGAUAUGUAGCAUGACGUUACCUUAAACGAUGCAAAUAGGUGCACACCAGUAUCCCUGUCUCUGUCUUUGUCUGUUCUGUGCAUCGUCACAGAGAAGCAUCGUUAGAGGAGAUGAGAGGAGAGGGAGGUAGAGGCGAGGAGAGGAAGCUAGAGGAGAGGAGAGGAGAGGAGAAGAGAGGAGAGGAAGGUAGAGGAGAGGAGAGGAGAGGAGAGGAGAGGAGGGGAGAGGAGAGGAGAGGAGAGGAGAGGAGAGGAGAGGAGAGGAAGGUAGAGGAGAGGAAGGUAGAGGAGAGGAGAGGAAGGUAGAGGAGAGGAGAGGAGAGGAGAGGAGACGGGAGAGGAGGAAUAUAAGAGAGAGGAAACAAGAAAAUAAUGACCCGCUUGUAUUAUUUUACCAUUUUUAGAAGUGUAUAUAAUCGUCUCCUCUCUGGAGACAAUAAUAAUCCUAUAAUAAUACAAUUUGGUCAUUAUUUUCUUGUAGGAGGAGGAGGAUAAGGGAGAUCGAAAGAAAAGGAAUGGGAGAGGAUGGGAGAAGGGGGAAUCCAGGGUUAAACUGGAGAUGUCGUGUAGUAGUGGUGGAGAUCGGAGGAGAGGAAACAAAAGGAGAAGGCAGACGAGGAGGGAGGAGGUGUAGGGGAACAGAGCGACGUGAAAGGGAACCUUGGGGCGCAAACGAAUGUCGUAUUGAUACCCUCUUCUGCACACCAACGUAUUCACACAUGCAAUGACGUAACCCUGCACGUACAUGUGUGUUCGUGCGUCGAUGCAUGCAGCCAUACUCCCCCCUACUAUAUGCGCCUUUGUGUGUGUGUGUGUGUGUCUAUGCGUUUCCUGUGUGUGUGUGUGUGUGUGUGUGUGUGUGUGUGUGUGUGUGUGUGUGUGUGUGUGUGUGUGUGUGUGUGUGUGUGUGUGUGUGUGUGUGUGUGUGUGUGUGUGUGUGGUAUUGGCUGUGAUCGACUGGCGUGGCUUGGUGAGGCACGGUGUGUAGAUCCAUCCCUCUUUCUGAGUGCUCUCUGAAAUAGCCUCAGUCACCAGAGAGUAAGAGAGAUAGACCUGUGUGUGUGUGUGUGUGUGUGCGUGCCUGCAUGUAUGUGUGCGUGAGUUUUCUCUGUGUUAGAGAGGUGGAAGGGAGCAAAAGGGAGGAGACUAGCAAGGGUGGGGUGAACAAUUGUAGAGGUGAGAGAGAGAGACAGUGAGUGUGAUGGAGAGAGAGAGAGAGAGAGAGAGAGAGAGAGAGAGAGAGAGAGAGAGAGAGGGGGGCUGUGUUACUAGAGGGAGUGGCAGAGUGAGAAGAGGCGAUACAGAGAGAGAGAGAGAGAGAAGACACAGCUCCGGUAGCUCAGUCGUUGUUGAUCGUCGGAUAAAGCAGACAUUGCAGUGGGAGCAGCGGCAAGCGAAGGGAAACCAAGAGAGACAGCGAGGGAGGUAGAGAGAGAGCAGGCGACAAAAGGACGCUGGGGCGAGGCUGCUGCGGAUGCAUGCGGUAACCAUGGCGCAGCCGUCUCCGUGCGCGUCGCCGUGCACCCGUCGCCGUAGCGAUGGCUCGGUGAGAGAAUGUCUGUUCUUCCCCGUUCUGGAACGGAACGAGCAGGAGCGGCUGGAGGCGCUGGUCCGCCGGCGGGCGGGGGGCGCGGCGGACAAGAGGGGCCGCGGCGCCGGGGAGGCCGGCCGGGACCCCCCGGAGAACCGCCCAAGAGAUGGACCUGGGGGACCCCGGACGGAGCCGAGGUGAGUG